UGGGGAAUAUUGCACAAUGGGCGCAAGCCUGAUGCAGCCAUGCCGCGUGUAUGAAGAAGGCCUUCGGGUUGUAAAGUACUUUCAGCGGGGAGGAAGGCGAUAAGGUUAAUAACCUUGUCGAUUGACGUUACCCGCAGAAGAAGCACCGGCUAACUCCGUGCCAGCAGCCGCGGUAAUACGGAGGGUGCAAGCGUUAAUCGGAAUUACUGGGCGUAAAGCGCACGCAGGCGGUCUUUCAAGUCGGAUGUGAAAUCCCCGGGCUCAACCUGGGAACUGCAUUCGAAACUGGCAGGCUAGAGUCUUGUAGAGGGGGGUAGAAUUCCAGGUGUAGCGGUGAAAUGCGUAGAGAUCUGGAGGAAUACCGGUGGCGAAGGCGGCCCCCUGGACAAAGACUGACGCUCAGGUGCGAAAGCGUGGGGAGCAAACA
rnacentral:rRNA from 1 species